rnacentral:miRNA from 1 species
CGAGCCAUUGAAAUUCGAUCC